GGCUCUGUGGUACAGUUGGUUAGUACGCCGCCCUGUCACGGCGGAGGUCGAGGGUUCGAGUCCCUUCAGAGUCG
rnacentral:tRNA from 1 species